rnacentral:rRNA from 1 species
AUUGAACGCUGGCGGCAGGCCUAACACAUGCAAGUCGAGCGGAUGAAGGGAGCUUGCUCCUGGAUUCAGCGGCGGACGGGUGAGUAAUGCCUAGGAAUCUGCCUUGUAUUGGGGUAUAACGUCCGGAAACGGGCGCUAAUACCGCAUACGUCCUGAGGGAGAAAGUGGGGGAUCUUCGGACCUCUCGCUAUCAGAUUAGCCUAGGUCGGAUUAGCUAGUUGGUUGGGUAAAGGCCUACCAAGGCGACGAUCCGUAACUGGUCUGAGAGGAUGAUCAGUCAAACUGGAACUGAGACACGGUCCAGACUCCUACGGGAGGCAGCAGUGGGGAAUAUUGGACAAUGGGCGAAAGCAUGAUACAGAAAGGCCGCGUGUGAGAAGAAGGUCUUCGGAUUGUAAAGAACUUUAAGUGGGGAGGAAGGGAAGUAAGUUAAUACCUGGCUGUUUUGACGUUACCAACAGAAUAAGCACCGGCUAACUUCGUG